GAUGAACGCUGGCGGCGUGCCUAAUACAUGCAAGUCGAGCGAACAGACGAGGAGCUUGCUCCUCUGACGUUAGCGGCGGACGGGUGAGUAACACGUGGAUAACCUACCUAUAAGACUGGGAUAACUUCGGGAAACCGGAGCUAAUACCGGAUAACAUGUUGAACCGCAUGGUUCAACAGUGAAAGACGGUCUUGCUGUCACUUAUAGAUGGAUCCGCGCCGCAUUAGCUAGUUGGUAAGGUAACGGCUUACCAAGGCAACGAUGCGUAGCCGACCUGAGAGGGUGAGCGGCCACACUGGAACUGAGACACGGUCCAGACUCCUACGGGAGGCAGCAGUAGGGAAUCUUCCGCAGUGGGCGAAAGCCUGACGGAGCAACGCCGCGUGAGUGAAGAAGGUCUUCGGAUCGUAAAACUCUGUUAUUAGGGAAGAACAAAUGUGUAAGUAACGAUGCACGUCUUGACGGUACCUAAUCAGAAAGCCACGGCUAACUACGU
rnacentral:rRNA from 1 species